rnacentral:rRNA from 1 species
UACGGAGGGUGCAAACGUUGCUCGGAAUCAUUGGGCGUAAAGCGCACGUAGGCGGUCCUUUAAGUCGGGUGUGAAAGCCCUCGGCUCAACCGAGGAAGUGCAUUCGAAACUGGAGGACUUGAAUACUGGAGAGGAUGGCGGAAUUCCCGGUGUAGAGGUGAAAUUCGUAGAUAUCGGGAGGAACACCAGCGGCGAAGGCGGCCAUCUGGACAGAUAUUGACGCUGAGGUGCGAAAGCGUGGGGAGCAAACAGG